rnacentral:rRNA from 1 species
AAUGGGCGGAAGCCUGACGCAGCCACGCCGCGUGAGUGAUGAAGGUUUUCGGAUCGUAAAGCUCUGUGGAGAGAGAAGAAAAAGCCUGUGAAGAGCAGGCCUUGACGGUAUCUCCUUAGCAAGCACCGGCUAACUCCGUGCCAGCAGCCGCGGUAAUACGGAGGGUGCAAACGUUGCUCGGAAUCAUUGGGCGUAAAGCGCACGUAGGCGGCCUUGCAAGUUGGGUGUGAAAGCCCUGGGCUCAACCCAGGAAGUGCACCCGAAACUGCAAAGCUUGAGUUCCAGAGGGGGCCAGAGAAUUCCCGGUGUAGAGGUGAAAUUCGUAGAUAUCGGGAGGAAUACCAGUGGCGAAGGCGCUGGCCUGGAGGGAGACUGACGCUGAGGUGCGAAAGCGUGGGGAGCGAACAGGAUU